rnacentral:lncRNA from 1 species
UGACGCGUAGGAGAAGGCCGCAAUGGAAGGGUCUGUGAGUGUCAUUUUUUAAACAUUUUCAAGCCAUAGUUACUUUGAAUUCUGGAAUCAGACUCCUCAGAUAGGACAGGCUAUCAGCACCGCAGCAAGACAAGCUGAUUUCUCGAGGCACUGAAGGCCAGGCUUGGGGAUGUAUCGCAGUUGGUAGAAUGCUUGUCUACUGUGCAUGAAGCCGCAGGUUCAAUCCCCACCACCACAUAAACUGGUGACAGGUGACACCGAGCACAAGGAAGAUGUUGCUGAUGGAUUUUUAUUCUACGGCAAGCCAAGGUUUCUCAAACAAGUUAAGACAGUGAAGUCCCUAAGUGAACUCCCGGUGGCCCAGAUUCAUCCCGGGCAAGAAGGGGAUCAAGUAAAUUCAGCUCUCCUUGGCUGAGCUUCCAGCUGUCCACAGAACCUUGGCCCCAGGGACUGAUGAAUUUACCUCCAUCCUGACUGCAGAGGUUGGCAGCUUGCAGAGGAAGACAGAGCCCAGCUAGCAGCCCUGACCAAGGCAUGGAGGUGCUGAAACCGACUGCCAUGGGGACCCAGAGGAAAAAAACAGCUCUGCAGAGAGCGGGGAAAGGGACAGUGUCCUCAGAGAACUCCAAAAAGUCUGAAUCACUGGAUUAAGGCUUCAGCUGGCAGAGGAGACGGGCUGUCAAUGUAAGGCAGAGACAUGGAGGCCCACCUGCGAGGGCAAGACCACAGUCAAGACAACUCAAGACACCGGGUGAAGAAAUGAAGAAGAAAUGGUUGUAAAUGCCAUUUCAGCAAAGCCUUGAGUCACUCGCUCAGAUCCCAGCAUCUGAAGGGCUUCAGCAGAAGCCGUGGGCAAGACAGCUGGAAGUGAAUCCAGACUCGGCCCUGGGUACCUGGUACAGGGAGGAGGGUCCAGACUUCAAAGCCAGCCGGGCCUCAAAUACCAGCUCCUCCAAUACGAGCUUUAUGACCCGAUCCAUAGCUCAACACGGCAUCCUCUGCCCUGGUUCCAUCGCAGGUACCACGGGAGAAUGUACCUCACCAAACUGCAUUUCCCAGAGUGUAGACCUUCUCCUGUGCUUUCUAGAAAUGUCCUCCGCCCGCCUUAAAACACUGCAAAGUGAUGUGAAAAGGCCUUUUCCACUUUCCAUGAGACAAUAAAAAAAGCUUUGUAACAGGACAUCUCUACCUGGAAAACUUACUCUUCAGGUCUGCAUAGAAGUGUCGGUCUGUCUGUCUGUCUUUCACGGCUGGCUAUCUGUCACCCUGUCUAUCCUCUCCAAUGGAUGGCAGGAUACUCCCCACACAUUUUUCUGUCACCAACCCUUUCUUCUCUCAGAGGGCAUCAAGCUGACCGUGGUGCUCCUG